AAUUGAAGAAGCCCUCCUGAGAUUAAAGGUUAUUUAUGGACGAGGUUAACCAUCUCUACUAUUAAGCCUUGAUACAUGUUUAGCGGAGAUCAAAUCUCGGUUUGCCUUCUAAAUAAUUGAAGAUGGGAUUGAAAUGGACUAGACAAGACUUCAUGUGUGAUUAAUGCACAUGUUUACAAGAAAUAUAACCGAUGAAGUGUUACCUACAAGCGAAAUUCUAUUGAAUGAAAUUUUGGUUGGACAAGAUGAAUGUAAC
rnacentral:lncRNA from 1 species